rnacentral:tRNA from 3 species
GCGCGGUUGGCUCAGUGGUAGAGCAUCGCCUUCACACGGCGGGGGUCACUGGUUCGAAUCCAGUACCGCGCACCA